CAGUAGUUAGUUUAUUUAAAAUUUAUGCUUUGGGUGUAUAAGAUAUAUGUAUAUAAUUAUAUUACUGA
rnacentral:tRNA from 1 species